rnacentral:rRNA from 1 species
UACGUAGGGGGCUAGCGUUGUCCGGAUUUAUUGGGCGUAAAGAGCGUGUAGGCGGCCAGGUAGGUCUGCUGUGAAAACUCGAGGCUCAACCUCGGGCCUGCAUCCGAAACUGCCCGACUAGAGGUAGGUAGGGGAGAUCGGAAUUCCUGGUGUAGCGGUGAAAUGCGCAGAUAUCAGGAGGAACACCUAUGGCGAAGGCAGCUCUCUGGGACGGUACUGACGCUGAGACGCGAAAGCGUGGGGAGCGAACAGG